UGGUGGGAUCCAUGCCUGGUUCAUUUUAAUAAAUGUGAGCUUGUCCAUGUUGGCCGUGUGACGGCGACAACGCAUUCGGGUGUGUGCCCUAUCAACUUUCAAUGCUAUUUUCCGCGCCUACCAUGGUGACCACAGGUAACGGGGAAUCAGGGUUCGAUAGAGAGGGAGCCUGAGAAACGGCUACCACAUGCAAAGAAAGCAGCAGGCGCGCAAAUUACCCACUCCCGACUCUGGGAGGUAAUGA